rnacentral:rRNA from 1 species
GAUCCUGGCUUAGGACGAACGCUGGCGGCGUGCCUAAUACAUGCAAGUCGAACGGUCUUUCUAUGGAAGCUUGCUUCCACUGAGAAGAUAGUGGCGAACGGGUGAGUAACACGUGGGUAACCUGCCCAUAAGAGGGGGGAUAACAUCCGGAAACGGGUGCUAAUACCGCAUAGUUUUCUUGAUCGCAUGAUCGGGAAAGGAAAGACGGCCUUUGUGCUGUCGCUUAUGGAUGGACCCGCGGCGUAUUAGUUAGUUGGUGAGGUAACGGCUCACCAAGACGAUGAUACGUAGCCGACCUGAGAGGGUGAUCGGCCACAUUGGGACUGAGACACGGCCCAAACUCCUACGGGAGGCAGCAGUAGGGAAUCUUCCGCAUGGACGAAAGUCUGACGGAGCAACGCCGCGUGAGUGAAAGAAGGUUUUCGGAUCGUAAAACUCUGUUGUCAGAGAAGAACAAGUUGGAGAGUAACUGCUCCAGCCUUGACGGUAUCUGACCAGAAAGCCACGGCUAACUACGUGCCAGCCGCCGC